rnacentral:snoRNA from 1 species
AAGACUCUACUUUCAGGGAUCAUUUCUUUAGUCUGGAACUAGAGGAUUGUGUUUCUACAGAGGUUGGUCUGGCUGUCCAUGAUAAUAAAUGAAGAUGUUUCCUUCAGAGCAGGAAGCUGGUGAGAAGAUGAGAAUCUUCUUCACUGAUGAAGACUGUUCAGUGUUUCUGGAUGUGACACUGAAGGAGGAAACAUUGUCUGAGUGGA